GAUUAAGUAGUAAAGGGCGCACGGAGGAUGCCUUGGCACUAGGAGCCGAUGAAGGACGUGACAAACGACGAAAUGCUACGGGGAGCUGUAAGUAAGCAAAGAGCCGUAGAUAUCCGAAUGGGGGAACCCACCGCUUUUAAAAGGGCGGUACGCGAAAGCGAGGUAACGCAGGGAACUGAAACAUCUAAGUACCUGUAGGAAGAGAAAGAAAAAUCGAUUUCCUGAGUAGCGGCGAGCGAAAGGGAAAGAGCCCAAACCAAUGUGCUUGCAUAUUGGGGUUGUAGGACUCUCAACAAAGUGUAUGACAAAGUAUAGUAGAACUAGCUGGAAAGUUAGACCGUAGAAGGUAAAAGUCCUGUAUACGAAAUGCUAAGUUGGCGCGAGAGAGCACCUGAGUACGGCGGAACACGAGGAAUUCCGUCGGAAUCUACCAGGACCAUCUGGUAAGGCUAAAUACUACCUAGUGACCGAUAGUGAACCAGUACCGUGAGGGAAAGGUGAAAAGAACCCCGGGAGGGGAGUGAAAGAGAACCUGAAACCGUGUGCUUACAAGUAGUCAGAGCCCCUUGAGGGUGAUGGCGUGCCUUUUGUAGAAUGAACCGGCGAGUUACUUUAUCAUGCGAGGUUAAGUGGAAGACAUGGAGCCGAAGCGAAAGCGAGUCUUAAUAGGGCGAAAUAGUAUGAUGGAGUAGACCCGAAACCAAGUGAUCUACCCAUGGCCAGGUUGAAGUUUAGGUAACACUGAAUGGAGGACCGAACCAGGACACGUUGAAAAGUGUUUGGAUGAGCUGUGGGUAGCGGAGAAAUUCCAAUCGAACUUGGAAAUAGCUGGUUCUCUCCGAAAUAGCUUUAGGGCUAGCCUCGUUGUGAGUUUACUGGAGGUAGAGCACUGUUUGGACUAGGGGCCCAUCCCGGGUUACCGAAUUCAGACAAACUCCGAAUGCCAGAUAAAUAUCAACGGGAGUCAGACUGCGGGUGAUAAGGUUCGUAGUCGAAAGGGAAACAGCCCAGACCGCCAGCUAAGGUCCCAAAUUGUAUGUUAAGUGGAAAAGGAUGUGAUGAUGCACAGACAACCAGGAUG
rnacentral:rRNA from 1 species